rnacentral:rRNA from 1 species
ACACUGACGUCGCGACGCAUAUCAAUAAGCGGAGGAAAAGAAACUAACUAGGAUUCCCUCAGUAACGGCGAGUGAAGCGGGAAGAGCUCAAAUUUGAAAUCUUCAAGGUUUUACCUUGACGAAUUGUAGUUUAAAGAAGUGUUUUCUGUUGGAAUUUUGGUAAAAGUUCUUUGGAAAAAGACAUCAAAGAGGGUGAGAAUCCCGUAUUUGACCUUUACUUUCAACUUUGUGAUACACUUUCAAAGAGUCGGAUUGUUUGGGAAUGCAGUCCAAAAUGGGUGGUAAAUUUCAUCUAAAGCUAAAUAUUGGCGAGAGACCGAUAGCGAACAAGUACCGUGAGGGAAAGAUGAAAAGAACUUUGAAAAGAGAGUUAAACAGUACGUGAAAUUGUCAAAAGGGAAGCGUUUGACACCAGUGUUGUUUUUCCGAAAAUCAAUUACGAAUGUUUUGUUUUUAAGAAGUUAUGACUUCAUCGGCUUGCUUCUUUCUUUACGAAACUUUCUUAAUGCACUUUUCGGUUAACAAGUCAACAUCAAUUUCUUUUGUUGUAAAAGGGUACGAGGAAGGUGGCUUUCUUUUCGGAGAAAGUGUUUAGUAGCCUUGUACCUCUGCAAUCGGAGAGAUUGAGGUCUGCAGAGUAGAUCCUUCGGGGUUAGAUACAUUCGUGCUAAGUUAUAGCUCUUCAUAGACAACUUGUUGACUAUGUUAAGUCUUGUAGCUUACUCGCUUAUGCUAUUUUACCUACGCUUAGGAUGUUGAUGUGAUACUGCGAGCA